GCGCACUGUGUAAUCGAGUUUAAUGGCACGUUAGCUUGCGGUGAAUUUUACUUGUGGUGUACACUAUAUUGCAGUAUCUGGGAAGAUUGAACAAUAAGAAGUGUUGUGGGUAUAAUAUAAACAAAGGAUGAUAUUAUAACUGAACUGAGCUAGUCAGUUGACUAUAUAUUUGAUGUUGCAGCUAACAGGUAUCUUUUAAAGCUCAUUUGAGAAUGUGUAUAUUCAUAUUGUAAAAUAACGGAUCGAUAAGCAAAACAUGUGUCGAAUCGAACACGUGUAUGAGACACGGUCUUCUAAAAUUAAAAAGGAAAAGCAACUGUCAUUGCAGUACCGCUAUAUUUGCUUUAACUAGAAUUGGAAGCGUAAAAUUAAAAGGCAAUUACUUUUAUUAAAAAAAAAGGAACAUAAAAUAAACUAGCUUAAAAUUAGUGCUGUAAACAUCUCAACCUACGAGCACAAAGUACUUUCAAUUGGUAUUGGACUACUUUCGUUUAAAAAUAACAUCUUUUAGCAACUUGACACAC